CCCGCGUGUCAGUGUGACGCAUUUUCCCACACGUACGCGCACGAGCACACAGGCGCACGGUUCGCCGUUUGAUACACGCGCUCGUGCGUUUCUUUUCUACAACAUUUAUCCAACGUGCACAACAUUACUACUACUACUACUACGUAAAAGUAUCCAACGAAAUAGCGUUAAACACGUUCGGCCCGUGGCAAGCGUGUGGGUGUCCGAGCGCGAGCGAGCGCGCGCGCGCGCGUGUGCGUGGAUUAUUUUCGCUUAUACCGCGGCGCACGCAAUCUCAGAAGUGGUUCUCGCGUUGACAGGUUCCGAACGAGUUUUCGCCGGCCUCCGAAGCCACCGAUCGGUCAGUGCUUCCACGCCUGGAUCCAACGAUCCUCCUCGAGCGUCCUCCUCGAAGGAUCGAGCGAUCAACAGGGAGGAGGAGGAGGAGGAGGAGGGUGAGGAGGAGGAGGAAAAGGAGCUUGCUGGUGAUCGUGAUCGCGGUCGGUACGAGACCAAUGUGACACGCGGACGAAUUCUUAUGCAACGUUUAAGGUGAACGUGGUUGCACGGUUAACCGGCGCACGGGAAAGGAACGGAAGAAACCUGUCCCAGGGAAUUAUGAAUGAUCCUCGUUAUGGUGAAGAGCCGUGCCUCGUGUUCUACCCGGUUGCUGGAAAUAGCGUGCAAUCUGGGCACGGAAACGCCGACAACUGGACAAAUACGCUCGUUGUUCGCCUCGUGCGCUCUGCGACACCAACGUGCCGUCGUUGAGUCGUGACGAAGAGGAAUCUCGGAAUCCCGGUUGUAAGAGUAUUCCCUCGAAGUGGAAAAGUUGAUUGGAAUUGUAUCUCGAUUCUUCUCUCUCUCUUUCUCUCUCUCUCUCUCUGUCUCUCUAUUUCUGUUUCUCUCUCUCUUUCUCUUUCGUUUGAAUCACGUUAUUGUUGUGCACAUGUGAACAGAGAAGAGGGGGAGCAGGAUGGUAUUAUCGUGGUCAUGAUGGUCAACGGAUGCGGAAAAGUGAUAAUGGAUGACGGAAUAAGACGAGAAUAAACGAAAUAGUAUGCGGAACGAUAGGAAGACGAGAAAUCGCACGAUGCGUGAACUUGGCGGUGGAUGCCGUAGAACUUCGUGCGUUUUUUGUGAAACGGGUUUCAAAGUUUCGAAGCGUUGGAAACGGAGGGACGUUCUUUGACGGUACGCUUUUUCAUUUUCUCGCGACAUUCCCUCCCUCCCUCCCCCCCCCUCCCCGGCCCCGCAAAUUGUCCACGAUGGUGCUAUCGACGACGCUUCUCUACGAAUCCCUGCAUUAUCGAUGGUGUUCUCCCAAUAGAAAGUUUAUGCGGAUCGCGUAACUUAACAAUUCUCUCUCUUCGGGGAAAGAAAAAAUUGGGAUCGGCGCGUGUCGAAACGAAUGGUUCGCGGGAUGGAAGGAUGAAUUUGAGUUGAGGGCAAGGGGCGGGACAGAAAGGAGGAAGAAGUCGAAGGAAGAGUUGUGGCGCGGAGUAGAGGAGUUUGGAUUGAUUACUCGGAUCGUAAAUUCGUUUGACGCACACGUAGCGAUGCUGCGCUGCGACGUUUGAGAAACGUGUUUCAGAUUAUCGUUGGAUUUACAACCCGUGAAUCAGACGGGAGAGAAAAAGAAAAGGAAAAAAGAGAAAAAAAAUCACCGUGCAAACUUUUACGAUCGCGUUACGCUCGCGGAUAAAGCGAGCGUUUCGAUCUCUCUCCUUCUCGCAUUGAAAGCGGGAAAAAAUCGCGUCGUUCCCGCGCGAUUUUUUUAAAAGAAAGAAAAGAACGAAGGGAACGAAGAAAAGGAUCGUACGUUAAACGUUAAGGCGAGGUGAGAUAUUUCUCUUCGUAUUCGUAUAAAUAUAUAAACACGGGGGGAGGAGAAGAGACACAGGAGGAGGGAAAAUCGAGAUCGUUGAACGAAAUGCUAAUGAGCGAAAAGAAUUGUGCGAGGAAAGAAGGAACAAACGAGGAAUUGGACGAGCAUACGAUCAGAGACAGCAACAGAGCAGCGCUGGACGAGCUGCUGGUGAACUCGACGGUCCCCUCGGCCACUGUUCCGGUAAAAGUGUGCGAUGACUCCGCGGACGAGGGAGGAAGGGACAACAACGACAAGCAGAAACGGGGAAUCCUGACCAACUUUCAGAGAAGGACAUUUAGCAGGAUCAGUUUCAAAGGAGAAUCCGGCCCUCUGCUGAGCAGAUACCGGCAGACGAGAUUCAGCUCCCGAAGAAUACGGAAAAGGGUGGUUUUCAAGCACGGCGAUUGCAAUGUCGUACAAGGAAAUGUGGCCAAGCGACGACGACGUUACCUUCAGGAUAUUUUCACGACGCUGGUCGACGCGCAAUGGAGAUGGACUCUUCUGGUGUUCUCGAUGAACUUCUUGCUCUCGUGGCUAGGUUUCGCCCUGAUUUGGUGGCUGAUCGCUUACAGCCACGGCGACCUCGAUCCGGAGAAUCACGCCAACUCCAACUCGACCUUCAUCCCCUGCAUCGAGAACAUUCGUGGAUUCACCAGCUCGUUCCUCUUCUCGAUCGAGACCCAGCACACGAUCGGGUACGGAUCGAAGCACCCUACGGACGAAUGUCCGGAGGCUGUGUUCGUCAUAUGCAUCCAGUCGAUGACAGGUGUGAUACUGCAAGCUUUCAUGGUGGGAAUAGUGUUCGCCAAGCUAUCCCGGCCCAAGAAGAGGACGCAGACGUUAUUGUUCUCGAGGAACGCGGUCAUCUGUCAGAGGGACGGCCAGCCUUGCCUCAUGUUUCGAGUCGGUGACAUGAGGAAGAGCCACAUAAUCGAGGCACACGUGAGGGCGCAGAUGAUCAAACGAAAGGUGACCAGAGAGGGGGAAUUGUUACCCUUCUUCCAAACGGAGCUGAAAGUGGGGAGCGACGGGGAGGAGGACAAGAUCUUGUUCAUUUGGCCGACGACGAUCGUUCACAAGAUCGACGAGCAAUCUCCCCUUUAUCACAUAUCGGCGAGCGAUAUGCUGCGAGAACGUUUCGAGAUCGUGGUUAUAUUGGAAGGCGUGAUCGAGUCGACUGGAAUGACGACCCAGGCCAGGAGCUCUUAUCUACCCUCUGAGAUUUUGUGGGGGCACAGGUUCGAGCAUAUAAUCACGUUCAAAAAGGAGACGGGGGAGUACGAGGUGAACUAUACCCUUUUCAACAACACGUACGAGGUCGACACACCACUGUGCUCGGCGGCCGAUCUCGAUAAAAUUAAGGCGAUGCAGAGAGCGAAAGGAGAGCGCAUGAGCAACACCGCGUUCGCUCAUUAUCGCGACGCGUCGAGCAGCUCUUUGACCACCGGAUCCGGUUCCAGCUUGGCGUCGUCCACCGGUGGAUUGCACAUGAACGUGCCGAUGACAUCGUUGACUCCGAUUCCAGUUAUGAUCACGAGUCCGGACGGCUCUCUGAGACGCGAGAGCAUGCAGAGCGCGCAAACCGAGAUGAAACCGCCGAUGUUUUACACACAUAACGAGUUUUUGGACAACGAGCAUUCUUCGAGUUAUCCGCAAGACGAUUCGGGAAACCAGGAGGACUACGAUCGUGCGUUGGAGGAUAUAAACGCGACGUUGAGGAAGAGUCGAGGGCCGAGCCAGGAGGCGAGGAGGACAAUGCACAAGGAGCCGUCCAAGGCGACGUUAGAUUCCAGGAAGAGCGAGUCCAGGGACGCGAUAAGGAGAUCGAACUCGAGGAUAACCAUGGAUCAAAUUAAUACUCCUCCGAGAUCACCCUCGCGACAGCAUUUAGACGCCAGAAACGAUUCUAAUCCGAUGACGAGGCACGCGAAAUUCGUCGAGUCGACGGAACCUCGUCGCGACCCUUCGCCCCAUCCCCAUUCUCUUUCCCCGCCGAGAAGGUACAGCCUGGGCGAAAAUCACAGGGGCAGGGAUCAUCAACACCAGCCCGCGAAGAAAACCAGUUUCAUCCUCGGCGACGACGACCACCACGUGAUCGAGAUCGAUCAACAGAGAAGUUUCGUGGCGGGCGACGAUCAUCGCCACGUGAUCGACAUCGAAUCGGGCCCUGUCUCCAAGCUGCCUUCUCCUUCGCCCGCCCACGAGACAUUGGACGCGUCCAAGACCAAUCAUCACCAUCAUCCACGAAACAACGCCUCCUCCGGUCCUCAGGAGCAAGUGUAGUAGGGUGUAACGAUCGGGUGAAAACGGAGGGAGAAUUUAUCUCGAGGGAUAACAAAGGGAUGGAGAAGAGAAGAAGGAAGAGAGGCGAAGCGACAGACGGAGGAGUUGUCGGGCAAAGAGAGUGUGUGUACGCGCGUACAUACGUGACUCAAUGCUGAUCGACGAUCCUCGAUCUCGUUGAGAAGUAGGAGGAAAAGGCUAGGUAAAAGAGAAAAUGGUAGGGAUAAAGGCGGGCGAGGAAGGUGCGUUGACGUCACUGGGCAAGCUCGCCGCUCGACGCUGUGCGACGCUGGUUGCCAACGCGAUCGCAGUUUCACGAGGUUUCAACCGAGACCACGCAUCUCCUCCGCCCUUUUUCCAUCGUUCCACGCGGUUCCUAACCGGCCGGCCGAAAGAAACAUCAGCGGCGGGUCUGCCUCUCCUCGCGUCGUCUCGCACCGUGUUCUCUCUCGCGACGUGGCGGGAAAAUUCGAAAAGUGACGCAGCGGCCGAUCGAACGACAUCUGGGAGCGGAGUGGCGGAAGACCACGUGGCCAACCGUGUCAAUGACUCGAGAUCGAAAUUCAACGUAAAGGGACGAGGAAUGGUGGGAUUCCGGGAACGGAAGGGCGGCGGUGUGGAUGCCGGAGGAAAGUGAGAGGAAACGAAGAAACGAUGGCAGAAAACAGAACUUUGCUCUCCAACGGCCGUGAGUCAUCGUCGCGUGGCCGCCUCCACCUUCGACUUCAUUCAUCCUG